rnacentral:rRNA from 1 species
CCAAUAGCGUAUAUUAAAGUUGUUGCAGUUAAAAAGCUCGUAGUUGAACUUCGGGGUUCACCCAUUGGUCAGGCUUAAUUGUCUGCACUGGUGAGAUGAGUCUCUACCUUCUGAGGAACUUUCAUGUCAUUUAUUUGGUGUGGUUGGAAAUCAGGACUGUUACUUUGAAAAAAUUAGAGUGUUUAAAGCAGGCUAACGUCUGAAUACAUUAGCAUGGAAUAAUGAAAUAGGACGGACUGAUUCUAUUUCGUUGGUUUCUAGGAUCACCGUAAUGAUUAAUAGGGAUAGUUGGGGGCAUUAGUAUUCAAUUGUCAGAGGUGAAAUUCUUGGAUUUAUUGAAGACUAACUACUGCGAAAGCAUUUGCCAAGGAUGUUUUCAUUAAUCAAGAACGAAAGUUAGGGGAUCGAAGACGAUCAGAUACCGUCGUAGUCUUAACCAUAAACUAUGCCGACUAGGGAUCGGACGAAGUUAAUUUUAUAAUGACGCGUUCGGCACCUUACG